rnacentral:rRNA from 1 species
CGGGUGAGUAAUACAUCGGAACGUGCCCAGUAGUGGGGAUAACCCGGCGAAAGCCGGACUAAUACCGCAUACGACCUAUGGGUGAAAGCAGGGGAUCGCAAGACCUUGCGCUAUUGGAGCGGCCGAUGUCAGAUUAGCUAGUUGGCGGGUAAAAGCCCACCAAGGCGACGAUCUGUAGCUGGUCUGAGAGGACGACCAGCCACACUGGGACUGAGACACGGCCCAG